rnacentral:rRNA from 1 species
AUUAGAUACCCUGCGUAGUCCACGCUGUAAACGAUGAUGACUAGGUGUGGGGGGACUGACCCCUUCCGUGCCGGAGUUAACACAAUGAGUCAUCCACCUGGGGAGUACGGCCGCAAGGCUGAAACUCAAAGGAAUUGACGGGGGCCCGCACAAGCAGUGGAGUAUGUGGUUUAAUUCCAAGCAACGCGAAGAACCUUACCAGGGCUUGACAUCCCGCGAAUAGCUUAGAGAUAAGUGAAGCUCUUCGGAGCGCGGACACAGGUGGGGCAUGGUUGUCGUCAGCUCGUGCCGGGAGGUGUCGGCUUAAUGGCCAUAACAAGCGCAACCCCUACCGACAGUUGCUAACAAGCGAAGUUGAGGACUCUGUCGGGACUGCCGGCGCAGGCUGCGAGGAAGGCGGGGAUGACGUCAAAUCAGCACGGCCCUUACGUCCGGGGCGACACACGUGUUACAAUGGCGGGUACAGCGGGAGGCCAUGCGGCGACGCAAAGCGAAACCCGAAAACCCGUCUCAGUUCGGAUUGGAGUCUGCAACCCGACUCCGUGAAGCUGGAUUCGCUAGUAAUCGCGCAUCAGCCAUGGCGCGGUGAAUACGUUCCCGGGCCUUGUACACACCGCCCGUCAAGCCAUGGAAGCCGGAAGCGCCUGAAGUACGUGACCGCAAGGAGCGUCCUAAGGCAAAACUGAUGACUGGGGCUAAGUCGUAACA